UACGGAGGGUGCAAGCGUUGCUCGGAAUUAUUGGGCGUAAAGGGGAGGUAGGUGGUCUUAUUUGUCAGAGGUGAAAUCCCUAGGCUUAACUUAGGAAGUGCCUCUGAAACGGUGAGACUGGAGUCCUGGAGAGGGUAGCGGAAUUCCCGGUGUAGCGGUGAAAUGCGUAGAGAUCGGGAAGAACACCAGAGGCGAAGGCGGCUACCUGGACAGGCACUGACACUGAACUCCGAAAGCGUGGGGAGCAAACAGG
rnacentral:rRNA from 1 species